rnacentral:rRNA from 1 species
UACGGGGGGGGUAAGCGUUGUUCGGAAUUACUGGGCGUAAAGGGCUCGUAGGCGGCCUUCUAAGUCAGACGUGAAAUCCCCCGGCUUAACCUGGGAACUGCGUCUGAUACUGGGAGGCUUGAGUAUGGGAGAGGGAUGUAGAAUUCCAGGUGUAGCGGUGAAAUGCGUAGAUAUCUGGAGGAAUACCGGUGGCGAAGGCGGCAUCCUGGACCAUUACUGACGCUGAGGCGCGAAAGCUAGGGGAGCAAACGGG